rnacentral:misc_RNA from 1 species
GCAUGUUAUUGGUUGGAUGACGUGCCAUAAGAGCUUGAAAUCAGUAAGAUAGUCAUGCUAUUGCUAGCGUAAAUAAUCAACAGCAGUGGAAACAAGAAUGGUGCUCUUUGGCCCCAUCUAGCGACGAACUGGGAGUACAUUUAUGGUAUGUGCAUCAUGUGCAGAGAUUGAUGAAGCUGUCUGAAACUUACAAUAUACUGGAACCAAAGGACCAGGUUCUACACUGCAGCACUUCUCUUCAUUGAGGAUGGUGUUGAUUGAAUCGAGUAGCCUGGUGCCUAGCUCCUCCCCAUCACUCCAUUCCUGAAUAUUUGCCUUGAUAAGGUUUUUGUUGCCGUAAAUCAACUCCCACAAAGGGAAAUUCUUCCUUGGCAUCACGAUGUCUCCUUGUUCAAGCUUCAUUGCUGCACAAAAAUCCGGACUUCCAUCACCAACAUAAAUGAACCGGUUCUUUCCUUGAGCAGAAACAGAAGCUCGCAUCCUUUCCAUCACCAGACCCUUGCACAUGUUUGGAGGGCAGAUUGUGCAGCCAUGAGAAGAUGACUUGAACUCAUGGUACUGUAAGAUUCUCAGCCUGCCUUCUGCAUCCACAUAGCAUGGGUUUGUGGUUAUCUCAGAGAAGCAAUCCAUCAGCCCAUAAUGUUUCAAGAUUGUCUCGAUGAAGAUGGUGUUUGCAUCGCUUACUAUCCUCAAAUCACACCCAGAAGCAUGGGCUGAUUUAAUUGCUUUGGUAAUCUUUGGAUGCAGAGGAACCUGUUUCAAGCACUCUGCAAUAUCCUGAAUUGUCUUUUCCCUAGAGUGAAGCUCCAUCAUCAUCCGAUCCAUGAGUGAGUUCCAGGGCAAGGUAGGGAGGAGCUCAGUAAAGGUGUCAUUAACGCCUAGCUUUUCCACCACCCAGUUAUCACUAUCACAAUCAAUAAGGGUUUUGUCGAAGUCGAAAACCACCACAACUCUCGCCAUUGCUAUGCUACGACCACCUCCCAAAUU